UAAAUGCAAGACAAAGACGACGAAUGGCAAAUGCUGCAGUUUUCCUUUUACUUACAAAGGAGUAACAUACAAUUCCUGUACCAAAAUUGGUCACAACAAGCUGUGGUGUUCAUUGGACACUUCCUACAAAGGAAGGUGGGGAAAUUGUGAAGUUAAAUGCAAGACAAAGACGACGAAUGGCAAAUGCUGCAGUUUUCCUUUUACUUACAAAGGAGUAACAUACAAUUCCUGUACCAAAAUUGGUCACAACAAGCUGUGGUGUUCAUUGGACACUUCCUACAAAGGAAGGUGGGGAAAUUGUGAAGUUAAAUGCAAGACAAAGACGACGAAUGGCAAAUGCUGCAGUUUUCCUUUUACUUACAAAGGAGUAACAUACAAUUCCUGUACCAAAAUUGGUCACAACAAGCUGUGGUGUUCAUUGGACACUUCCUACAAAGGAAGGUG